AACGAACGUCUGCGGCGCUCCUAAUACAUUCAAGUCGAGCGAGAAAGGGAUUCGUCCCCAGUAAAGCGGCGCACGGGCGAGUAACACGUAGGUAAUAUGCCCCCGGGGGGUGGAUAACAUUCGGAAAAGAGUCCUAAUACAGCAUGACACUGCAAGGUCAAAGCGGGCCUCCCGUUAGCAGCCCGGGCCUGAGGGCUAGCCUGCGGCCAAUCAGCUAGUUGGUAGUGUAACGGACUCCCAAGGCUAAGACGGGUAGCUGGUCUGGGAGGAGGAACAGCCACACUGGAACUGAGACACGGUCCAGACUCCUACGGGAGGCAGCAGUAGGGAAUCUUGCGCAAUGGGCGAAAGCCUGACGCAGCGACGCCGCGUGAGUGAUGAAGGCCUUCGGGUUGUAAAGCUCUGUGGGGAGAGAAGAAUAAGUGCAAGCUAAUACCUUGCAUGAUGACGGUAUCUCCUUAGCAAGCACCGGCUAACUCUGUGCCAGCCGCCGCCGUAAGAC
rnacentral:rRNA from 1 species